GCAGGCUUAUCACAUGCAAGUCGAGCGCCCAGUAAUGGGAGUGGCGGACGGGUGAAUAACGCGUGGGAAUAUGCCCUUUGGUACGGAACAACUCAGGGAAACUUGAGCUAAUACCGUAUGAGCCGGUAACGGGAAAGAUUUAUCGCCAAAGGAUUAGCCCGCGUCCGAUUAGCUUGUUGGUGAGGUAAUGGCUCACCAAGGCACCGAUCGGUAGCUGGUCUGAGAGGACGACCAGCCACACUGGGACUGAGACACGGCCCAGACUCCUACGGGAGGCAGCAGUGGGGAAUCUUGGACAAUGGGGGAAACCCUGAUCCAGCCAUGCCGCGUGAGUGAUGAAGGCCUUAGGGUUGUAAAACUCUUUCGACGGGGACGAUAAUGACGGUACCCCCAGAAGAAGCUCCGGCUAACUUCGUGCCAGCAGCCGCGGUAAUUACGAGGGGGGUAGCGUUGUUCGCAAUUACUGGGCGUAAAG
rnacentral:rRNA from 1 species